UAGCCGUAAACGAUACUCGCUAGGUGUCGGCUACGGUGCGACCGUUGUCGGUGCCGUAGGGAAGCCGUGAAGCGAGCCACCUGGGAAGUACGGCCGCAAGGCUGAAACUUAAAGGAAUUGGCGGGGGAGCACAACAACGGGUGGAGCUUGCGGUUUAAUUGGAUUCAACGCCGGAAAUCUUACCGGGACCGACAGCAACAUGAAGGCCAAGCUGAAGACUUUGCCGGAUUAGCUGAGAGGUGGUGCAUGGCGUAGUCGUGU
rnacentral:rRNA from 1 species